rnacentral:rRNA from 1 species
AGAGUUUGAUCCUGGCUCAGGAUGAACGCUGGCGGCAUGCCUAAGACAUGCAAGUCGAACGCACUAGUUUACUAGUGAGUGGCGAACGGGUGAGUAACACGUAAGUAAUCUGUCCUAAAGACGAGGAUAACCACUGGAAACGGUGGCUAAUACUGGAUAGGAUGCGGAGGCAAAAGUCACCGCAUUUAAAGGUGCUGAAAGGGACCGCUAUAGGGUGAGCUUGCGGCGCAUUAGAUAGUUGGCGGGGUAACGGCCCACCAAGUCGACGAUGCGUAGCUGAGCUGAGAGGCUGAACAGCCACACUGGGACUGAGACACGGCCCAGACUCCUACGGGAGGCAGCAGUUAGGAAUUUUCGGCAAUGGACGAAAGUCUGACCGAGCAAUGCCGCGUGAAUGAAGAAGGUCUUCGGAUUGUAAAGUUCUGUUAUCGGGAAAGAACACCAUGUGUAGGAAAUGACAGAUGGCUGACGGUACCCGAUGAGAAAGCCCCGGCUAACUACGUGCCAGCAGCCGCGGUAAUACGUAGCGGGCAAGCGUUAUCCGGAAUUAUUGGGCGUAAAGAGUGCGUAGGCGGUUUAUUAAGUCAGUCGUAAAAGAUCAUAGCCCAACUGUGUAGGGCGAUUGAAACUGAUAGACUUGAGUAUGGUAGAGGUAAGUGGAAUUCCAUGUGUAGCGGUGGAAUGCGUAGAUAUAUGGAGGAACACCAAUGGCGAAGGCAGCUUACUGGGCCAGAACUGACGCUGAGGCACGAAAGCGUGGGGAGCAAACAGGAUUAGGUACCCUGGUAGUCCACGCCGUAAACGAUGAGAACUGAGUGUUGGAGUGAAAUUCAGUGCUGAAGUUAACGCAUUAAGUUCUCCGCCUGGGUAGUACGGUCGCAAGACUGGAACUCAAAGGAAUUGACGGGAACCCGCACAAGCGGUGUAGUAUGUUGUUUAAUUCGAAGAUACACGAAGAACCUUACCAGGUCUUGACAUACCAUUGACGGGUGCAGAGAUGCACCGUUCCUUCGGGACAAUGGAUACAGGUGGUGCAUGGUUGUCGUCAGCUCGUGCCGUGAGGUGUUGGGUUAAGUCCCGCAGCGAGCGCAACCCUUAUUGCUAGUUACUAACAUUAAGUUGAGGACUCUAGUGAGACUGCCAGUGACAAACUGGAGGAAGGUGUGGAUGACGUCAAAUCAUCAUGCCCUUUAUGACCUGGGCUACAAACGUACUACAAUGGCCGAUACAAAGAGAAGCGAAGCGGUGACGUGGAGCAAACCUCAUAAAAACGGUCUCAGUUCAGAUUGAAGUCUGCAACUCGACUUCAUGAAGGCGGAAUCGCUAGUAAUCGCGAGUCAGCAGAUCGCGGUGAAUAUGUUCCCGGGUUUUGCACACACCGCCCGUUCA